rnacentral:rRNA from 1 species
GGCGAACGCUGGCGGCGUGCUUAACACAUGCAAGUCGAACGGUGAAGCGCCUUCCUUUUUGGUGGGUGUGGAUGAGUGGCGAACGGGUGAGUAACACGUGAGUAACCUGCCCCCUUCUUCUGGAUAACCGCAUGAAAGUGUGGCUAAUACGGGAUAUUCUGGGUCUGUCGCAUGAUGGGUCUGGGAAAGAUAUUGUUUCGGUGGGGGAUGGGCUCGCGGCCUAUCAGCUUGUUGGUGGGGUGAUGGCCUACCAAGGCGGUGACGGGUAGCCGGCCUGAGAGGGUGGACGGUCACACUGGGACUGAGACACGGCCCAGACUCCUACGGGAGGCAGCAGUGGGGAAUAUUGCACAAUGGGCGCAAGCCUGAUGCAGCGACGCCGCGUGAGGGAUGGAGGCCUUCGGGUUGUGAACCUCUUUCGCCAGUGAAGCAGGCCUGCCUCGUCUGUGGGUGGGUUGACGGUAGCUGGAUAAGAAGCGCCGGCUAACUACGU